UACAGAGGGGGCGAGCGUUAUUCGGAAUUAUUGGGCGUAAAGGGCGCGUAGGCGGCUUUUCAAGUGACGGGUGAAAUCCCUCGGCUUAACCGAGGAACUGCCUGUCAGACUGGAAGGCUUGAGACCGGGAGAGGUGAGUGGAAUUCCCAGUGUAGCGGUGAAAUGCGUAGAUAUUGGGAGGAACACCAGUGGCGAAGGCGGCUACCUGGACAGAAACUGACGCUGAGGCGCGACAGCGUGGGGAGCAAACAGG
rnacentral:rRNA from 1 species